rnacentral:piRNA from 1 species
UUCCAAAGGUGGUUUUCUACAGAUU